GACACGCUGGCGGCGUGCCUAACACAUGCAAGUCGAGCGAGUGAAUCUCCUUCGGGAGAGAAGCUAGCGGCGGACGGGUGAGUAACGCGUAGGAAUGUAUCCAGAGGUGGGGGACAACCCCGGGAAACUGGGGCUAAUACCGCAUAUGUCCUGAGGGACAAAGCAGUAAUGCGCCUUUGGAGCAGCCUGCGUCCGAUUAGGUAGUUGGUGGGGUAAUGGCCUACCAAGCCUGCGAUCGGUAGCUGGUCUGAGAGGACGAUCAGCCACACUGGGACUGAGACACGGCCCAGACUCCUACGGGAGGCAGCAGUGGGGAAUAUUGGACAAUGGGCGCAAGCCUGAUCCAGCAAUGCCGCGUGUGUGAAGAAGGUCUUCGGAUCGUAAAGCACUUUCGACAGGGACGAUGAUGACGGUACCUGUAGAAGAAGCCCCGGCUAACUUCGUG
rnacentral:rRNA from 1 species